rnacentral:rRNA from 1 species
AGAUUAAGUUAUUAAGGGCGCACGGUGGAUGCCUUGGCACUAGAAGCCGAUGAAGGACGUUACUAACGACGAUAUGCUUUGGGGAGCUGUAAGUAAGCUUUGAUCCAGAGAUUUCCGAAUGGGGAAACCCAGCAUGAGUUAUGUCAUGUUAUCGAUAUGUGAAUACAUAGCAUAUCAGAAGGCACACCCGGAGAACUGAAACAUCUUAGUACCCGGAGGAAGAGAAAGAAAAUUCGAUUCCCUUAGUAGCGGCGAGCGAAACGGGAAGAGCCCAAACCAACAAGCUUGCUUGUUGGGGUUGUAGGACACUCUAUACGGAGUUACAAAGGACGACAUUAGACGAAUCAUCUGGAAAGAUGAAUCAAAGAAGGUAAUAAUCCUGUAGUCGAAAAUGUUGUCUCUCUUGAGUGGAUCCUGAGUACGACGGAGCACGUGAAAUUCCGUCGGAAUCUGGGAGGACCAUCUCCUAAGGCUAAAUACUCUCUAGUGACCGAUAGUGAACCAGUACCGUGAGGGAAAGGUGAAAAGCACCCCGGAAGGGGAGUGAAAUAGAACCUGAAACCGUGUGCUUACAAGUAGUCAGAGCCCGUUAAUGGGUGAUGGCGUGCCUUUUGUAGAAUGAACCGGCGAGUUACGAUUUGAUGCAAGGUUAAGCAGUAAAUGUGGAGCCGUAGCGAAAGCGAGUCUGAAUAGGGCGUUUAGUAUUUGGUCGUAGACCCGAAACCAGGUGAUCUACCCUUGGUCAGGUUGAAGUUCAGGUAACACUGAAUGGAGGACCGAACCGACUUACGUUGAAAAGYGAGCGGAUGAACUGAGGGUAGCGGAGAAAUUCCAAUCGAACCUGGAGAUAGCUGGUUCUCUCCGAAAUAGCUUUAGGGCUAGCCUCAAGUGAUGAUUAUUGGAGGUAGAGCACUGUUUGGACGAGGGGCCCCUCUCGGGUUACCGAAUUCAGACAAACUCCGAAUGCCAAUUAAUUUAACUUGGGAGUCAGAACAUGGGUGAUAAGGUCCGUGUUCGAAAGGGAAACAGCCCAGACCACCAGCUAAGGUCCC